rnacentral:rRNA from 1 species
GACGAACGCUGGCGGCAUGCCUAACACAUGCAAGUCUAGGGGUAGCAAUACCACUGGCGCACGGGUGAGUAACACGUAGGUUAUCUGCCCCCAUCACAGACAUAACCCCGGGAAACCGGGGCUAAUAUCUGAUGAGGUCGCGAGAUCAAAGCUUCGGCGGAUGGGGAUGAGCCUGCGGCUGAUUAGCUAGUUGGUGAGGUAAUGGCUCACCAAGGCGACGAUCAGUAGCUAGUCUGAGAGGACGAACAGCCACACUGGAACUGAGACACGGUCCAGACUCCUACGGGAGGCAGCAGUGAGGAAUAUUGGUCAAUGGGAGCAAUCCUGAACCAGCAAUGCCGCGUGUGGGAUGACAGGGCUUCGCCUUGUAAACCACUGUCGGACGGGACGAAAGGAGGCCUCGGGCCUCUGGGACGGUACCGUCAAAGGAAGGGUCGGCUAACUACGUGCCAGCAGCCGC